AGAAACACGCGCGUCUACAGGCAGGCGAGGCCACCGCGUGGAGGCGUGGGGGGGUGCCGCCCCCCGUGGGGCUCGGUUCGCUCUGCCUCUCCCUGCGGCCCCCGAGAGUCCCCAGUCGUCCCCCUGCACUGAUAUCAGUCGCGACUCGAGCGAGGGAGCCACAACGUGUGCCCCUUGUGCUUACCGUAUACUUUAUAACUCUAGUUGUGCCCUAAAGAUUUGAACAAGUGUUUGGAGAUACUUCUUCCCUUACUUAUACUUAAUAUCAAGGAUUGUUUUACAAAUAGAAAGAAAAAUGGGGGAGAAAACAUUCAAUUUGACUUGGAACAAUCACUUGGCGAAUCUGUCUGGACUGUUCGAAGGACUCUAUAAAACUGGAUCUCUCACAGAUACAACACUGUCUUGUCAGGGGGGUAUGCUACGUGCACACAGGCUGGUACUGGCAGCAUGCAGCCCAUAUUUCGAGAGGGUUUUUAAAGAGCACUAUGGAGACCAGCCUAUUCUUAUUCUUAAAGGUGUUCCAAUUGAAGAAAUGGAGUGUCUCUUAGACUUUAUGUAUCGAGGAUCCAUUAAUGUUGCUGAAGAACACUUACCGUCCCUGAUAAAAACAGCUACGGACCUUGAGAUUCGUGGCCUCUCGGGAGACCACCAAACUGAAAGCAACAAUGUUUACUCUAGGAUUGAGUCAAGAGGACAGGCUUGUCAGGUGGAGACAAGAUUGCAUCAAAUGGAAUUCAGAACUACUCAUUCUAUGCCAUUCUUAUCGAAAUCUGACUCUGGUAGUACGACCGUUAACGAUGUUAAGCUGGAGGAGAUUGAAGUUGAGGAUGAUCCCAUGAUCAUGGAGGGCCAUGACGAAAGUUUUGAAGAAUCCCUGCCAAUAGCGAAAGAGCAAAUAAGACAUAUACCACCACCUAUGUUCACAUGCCAAAGCCGAUUUGAUGGACAGAAACGUGGAGUUAGUCGCGUUAUGAAAAAUACAAAUAGGAGAUAUCACGCGAAUGAGGAAGCUUAUGACAACGAGUCAGAAUGUUUGACAUCUGAAGGAACCUUCAAAAGUAGUCAAGAUCCAACAGUGCCAGCUAUACAGAUGAAUGAAGACCCGAUGGAUCUAGGCAGAGCAAAUGGAAUGUUUUUUUUUCAGAACUCACCACUAGAAGUAAAUAUGGAAGUAAUACAAAAAAAAAUGGAAAUCAAAGACGAAAGUGAUACGAAUAAGGCGGUAACCAAUCCUGGAAAUACCGCGAAGGAUCGAAAAACGCAGACAAAAAAUAAAUCGCAGUAUAAACCGUUCCAAUGUGAUAGGUGCACUUUAGCGUUCACUCGAGCUUCUCACCUUGCACGACAUCAUCGAGUUCACACUGGAGAGCGACCAUUUGGCUGCAGUCUUUGUCCACGUAUGUUUGCUCGUCAAGACAAGCUCAAACAACACUUGGACUCUCACUUACAGUGGCCGAAGCGGAAGGCACUUAGCCUUGGUGGAACGCACCAGCAACAGCAUCAGCAUACAUCAUCGAGUUUACUUGGCAAAGGAAAACGUGGAAGGCCAAGAAAGGUGAACACGAGAACAUCUAUAAUUCGCGAAGAUCCGGCAGGACGUGACGACUGAAAAACCCCCCUGGGACGUCGGAUCGUGACUGCGACCGGUAACAAUCGGCGACAAAGAAUUUCAUAUUUUCUUAGAGCUUUCAACUUUGCCAUCAUUGCCGAAAGAUUACGGCACCUUAACCUCCGAGUACACGUGACACAAGGGAGACAUGUGCAUCACGCCACGAUAACCUCAGGAUACACCGAGACGACGCAGUCCCCUAGGCUUCGGACAGUGACGGGACCAGAACGACUCGUUGAUCGACCUCGACAACGACAUCUGGCAGAUCCAUGUCACGUUAUCCCACGACAUCGCGAUCACACUUUUCAGCCCCAAGAGGUAUGUACACGUACUACGCAAGGUUUGGGGACCAGGUACGUAAGUGUCACAAGCCCUGGAACUACGUGUUCUCCACACAUGGCCAAACAACGCACAGGGAAACUAAAACCACUGUCGUCAGUUCUGGCGGUAGGCGACAGUGACUCAAAUAACAAUAACCCCAACACCAAGGAACACCGCCUAUUCUUCACCGAUAUCAGCUCUAAUAUCAAGUUCUUCGUGGAUUCUGGGUCGAUCAUAUCGAUAAUUCCACGAGAGGGCGACAACACCGUGAAAAAUCCACUGAUUUUCAUCUGUAUGCAGCCAACGGGACCACCAUUCACACGUAUAUACAGCGACUGCUCAACCUCAAUCUCGGUCUCCGUUGUGCAGUGAAGUGACCCUUCAUCAUCGCUGAUGUGAAGACAGCCAUCAUCGGUGCAGACCUGCUGGCCUACUAUGAUCUGCUCAUCGACCUUUAAGGCCGCUGUCUGGUGGCACCGGCACCUUGUUCGAGACUUCAAUCUUCAACAUCUCUCCAGUCGACAAAGCCCUUCAGUUGCCUCCAUUCUACACGGUACUGCUGCAGAAGUACAUCGAUGUUACCAAGCUUGCACCGAUUCCCACGAUCAGCAUCAGCAACCCAGUCGCACACCACAUCCCUACCACAGGCCCACCUGUAGCCGAGCGCCCAAGUCGUCUAACUGAGGAGAAACUUCAGUCUGCCAGGCAGAAUUUCGACCUGCUCCUACAGUUCGGUGUCAUCAGAGUUUCUAGUAGUUAGUGGGCCAGCCCCAUACACAUGGUAGCUACGAAAGACGGCGCAUGGCGAGCAAAAAGGGAUUACAGACAGCUCAACUGACAAACAGCCUCUGAUCGUUACCCCAUCCCGCACACAGAGGACGUGAUCCAGCGCUGUCAUGGUAGCAGCAUCUUCACGACCCUAGACCUGGUGCAGGCUUAUCACCAGAUUCCUGUAGCCGAAGAGGACAUACCCAAGGCUGCGGUGACCACUCUGUUUGGCCUUUUCGGCAUGCCACCUGGAUUAUGCAAUGCCGCACAUACCUUCCAAAGGCACAUGGAUAAUCUUCUGCAAUACUGUAAGUUUGCUGCAUGUUACGUUGACGAUACCAUCAUCUAUUCCAGGAGUCCUGAGCAACAUCAACUCCACAUCGAAGUCAUUCUCAAGCUGCUUCGCAACAACCACCUCUCGAUCAACCCAGGCAAGUGUCAAUGGGCUCAGGAGGAGGUCCAAUACACCAUCAACAGGCAUGUGUACCGUCUACCAGCAUACAAGGUGGAAGCCAUCUUGACCUACCCCAAGCCAGGGACCAUCGAGUACUUCCGGAAAUUCCUCGGCAUGGUUAACUACUAUCGCCGCUGUAUCCCUCUAGCCGCAGUGAUCAAGGCCCGCUUGAACGAGUACCUGAAGCAGGCUAAGAAAAAGGACAAGCGCAAAGUCCCUUGGACCCCGGAAUCGGAAGCAACCCUGGAAAACUGCAAGCAAAGUGUGGCCAAGACCACCAGAGCAUCUUUCCUGUCUCCAUCAAUCCCUUUGUCUAUCUCUAGGGACGCUUCCGAUUCAGCCAUUGGUGGUGCUCUGGAGCAGCUUAUUAAUAACACCUGGUAACCAUUAGAGUUCUUCCCGAGGAAGCUGAGUUCCACGGAGCAGCGCUACAGUACGUAUGACCGAGAGCUACUCGUCAUCUUCUCAGGCAUCAAGUACUUCAAAGAUAUAGUCGAGUACAAUCCUCUACGCGUCUACGCGUUCCAUUAGCGACUCAAGAAGGCAUUACCCCGACAGGUCAAUCAAUCAAGCUUCAUCCCUAAGUUCAUGACCACGAUCGUGCACGUAAUGCGUGAGGACAACAUCGUUGCCAAUGCUCUGUCACGAGUGUGCACCAUCGACAUGUCCAAAGGCCUUAGCAGUGACAUCAUCUACGAGGCCCAACAAAACGAUCAGGAGCUGGUGCGGCUUGCCAACAACAUCAACAACGCGUUGAAGCUCCAACCUCUCCAAGCCAAUUUUAAUCCAGGCUGUUUACUGUACUCGCCCGGAUGAUAGGAGCCAACACGAUCCACACUUCCCCAUGCCGCUCUCAGGCAAACGGGAUAUUGGAGAAGUGGCACCGAACGGUUAAGGCUGCACUUAUGUGUAAUGCGCCUACACCAUGACCAGAACUGCUGUCAACGGUCAUGCUCGGGCUCCGGACAUGCAUGAAAGAAGACCUUAAUGCCUCCGCUGCUCAACUCCUGUACGGCACCGAGCUCAGGAUUCCAGGUGAAUUUUUCACCACCGCCGACAUGCCAGCAGAGGUAACCUUCUUCCUUGAGAAGUUUAGGGAGCAUACACCUUCUCACACGUUUUCGUCCCAAUUGACGCCGUGACGAAGCCUCUUGAACCACCAUACUCAGGCCUUCGCCAAAUCAUCAAACGUUUCGACCAUCGAAACUUCAUGACCGACGUCGAUGGUCUUGAAAAAAACAUCUCGGUUGACAGGCUGAAACCAGCAUUCAUCGCGAAGGAGUCGCUCCCAGCAUCAGGAACAUCAACGGAGCCUACUACCUCUACAUCACCACUGCCAGUGCCUGAUCCUCUGCCAUCAACUAGUAUGGACAGGCCCCUCAGGGGGGGGGGGGGGGGGCAGUAGAUGUGGCAUACUCGUCGUCAACAGCAAUGCGCCCAUCAGCAGGUUUACCGACGGAGUCUCAACAGCGCCGCGGGCGCAGACAGGAACUUAUCCCUGGGCGCGACGACGACUGGCUUCUCGCACCCUAGAAACCAUCACUAUUCUAAGUAGCAUGUAACGGGCCACAGCUGUAGCCAAAGUUUGUAGUAGUGUAUUUCAGGGUUAAAUGUAAAAUAAAUAUAUUGUGGUAUGUUUGGAAAUAUUAGUGCCCUUAUAAUUACGAUUCGAUCGCUCGGUCGAAUCGUUGUAACAAGCCCACAGAUUAAUAGUUGGUGGCACCCUCCUGCAUCAUGGGGUCGCAACGCACCUACUUUGGGGUCACUCGAGUCGGCAGAACUGAGGCUCUAUUUAGUCAAUUCUUGUUGGAUAGAGCAGUCGGAUCCUUCAACUAAUGCCCUUGGUUCUAUCCCUUAAUAUUGACUAGGAGAGCGACAACUAAUUUUUAAUUCACGGGCGAUUGAUCCGGUUGAUCGAGUGCCUUCGAGUGAUCAUAUAUUUAUACUUUUCGUCUUUUUCUCUUCGUACCAGAAAUUCUAUUUAAACACGUAGUUUCUGUUCUGAGUAUCGUUAUGAGUAAUCGACAACAUAACAAUAUACUUGAUUUUUUUUCUAUUAAGGUGAUUAAAAUGAAGAUCAUCAUUGAUAUAAAGGGGAGAGAUUAUAAAUGAUUUUUUAUUUAUUUAUUCACCAUUUUCCAAGAAGUAGGUGUGCCUUAUGAUUUUCUACAAUAUGUGGUGUCGAUAGGCCUCAAGACGAUUUAUAGGUGCGUGCAGCGUGUCCUUUUUUGUAGUUUGCAGAAAAUAAAAAGUUGUCAAUGCGGCUGACAAUAGAAAAAAAGCUUCAAGCUCGCCCAUUUUUUUGCAUAAGAAGCUGUAUACUUUCUUGAAUGUCUUAGGAGGAUAAAGGGGUCAAUAUAUUAUGUGUAUCUUAAAUUCAAUAUAUUAUUCACUUAUCACUGAAUAAAUUGUACAAAAUUC